AGGAUGAACGCUGGCGGCGUGGAUAAGGCAUGCAAGUCGAGAGGGUUUAGACCCUCGGCAGACGAGGUAGUAACACGUAGGUACGCACCCCAAAGUCGGGCAUAACUAGUCGAAAGAUUAGAUAAUUCUCGAUAGUCUCUUCGGAGUAAAGAUUUAUCGCUUUGGGAGCGGCCUGCGGAGUAUCAGGUAGUUGGUAGGGUAAUGGCCUACCAAGCCUAUGACGCUUAGGGGGAUGAGAGCUCGAUCCCCACCGAUGGAACUGAGACACGGUCCAUACACCUACGGGUGGCUGCAGCCGAGAAUAUUCGACAAUGGGCGAAAGCCUGAUCGAGCGACGCCGCGUGAUUGAUGAAGUCCUUCGGACGUAAAGAUCUUUUGGAAGGAGAAGUUAUUGAUAGUACUUCAGAAUAAGGGUUGCUAAACUCGUGCCAGCAGCCGC
rnacentral:rRNA from 1 species